AGAGGACCAUUUGUAAUUAAAACAGAUCACAAGAGUUUAUGCAACUUGGAAGACCAAGUACUUCACACUGAAUUGCAGAAAAAAGCAAUGGCAAAACUGGCAGGCCUACAAUUUAAAUUUCAGUACAAAAAGGGCACAGAGAACAAGGCAGCUGAUGCUUUAUCCAGAAUUGGACAUGUCUUUGCUGUGCAAGCAGUGUCCACUGCUCAACCAGUUUGGGUGCAAGAAGUGGCAAACUCUUAUGCAGUGGAUACCAGAGCACAAGAAUUACUAACAAAAUUAGCUAUAACACCUGAGGCUGAACCUGGAUUUGCACUGUCACAAGGUCUCAUCAGAUUUAAAGGAAGAAUUUGGAUUGGAGCUAAUGCUGGACUGCACACCAGGUUAAUUGAGGCCUUUCAUGCAUCUCCUAUUGGGGGACACAGUGGAAUUCAAGCUACUUAUCAGAGAGUAAAGAAGUUAUUUCACUGGAAUGGCAUUAAACAAGAUGUGCAAAAUUUUGUACAACAAUGCUAG
rnacentral:rRNA from 1 species